UUUUUACUUGCAGACCUUGUUUGGAGAGUUUGCAGGGCUUCACAGUAGUUGUGGAAGAAAGAGCACUGAUUCGGAGUCGCACGUAAACCUGCUGAACAACCCACUGGACCUUGUGGACAGUCAGACCAUCUGCAUUAGAAGGAUAGAGACACAUUUCCUGCCAGGAUGGGUGCAUCCCUGUCUUUAAGGAGCGGUUUUCAUCCCCAGCUAAAGAAAAAAUCCAGACACACAGAAACCGUGGAUCCUGGCGAAGGUGUACAUGAGGAGACAAUUCCAGAAUAUAGCCCAGGCACAU